rnacentral:rRNA from 1 species
AUGGAGCCGGCGGAGGCGGGAGGCGGCAUCGCCGCCACGAGGAGCAGCCCGGCCGCCGUGCAGGCCACCGAGGACGACGCCGCAGCGAGCACGCUGACCGAUGAACAUGUCGGAGAUACUGCCCAGCCACCAUCAGGACAAACAGUACAAGAGCUAGUUGAUUCAUUCUCAGGCCAACUACCAGGGAGGAUUUGUGCCAAAGGAAAAUCAACCGCGGGUGUUUUGGUGGAGGAGAAGGACCUGGUUUCGUACCGCCGCGACUGGGAGAAAUCUUGGGGUGACAAAUGUGGCUCCUUCGAAUUCUACUCGUGCGUGAGAGCCAUGCUCUUCACAUGCAAACGCACCCCGCCACAUGCAGGCGUCAAGACUUGCCUGCAAAUCUUCUCCGUCAGAGUCAUGGAGAUCGACGGUGGUUAUCUUGAGUGGCCACUCGAGGUCUACGGCCUGGUCGCCACCCGGGACUCGAUGGAUCAUAAUCGUAACAUUAUCUUCAGACUCAGGAGGGAUGCCUGCCAACUCCUCACUCAACAGGAUCCAUUUUUGGCGCUGACCGGCCCGUCUCAUGCGAUUGUCUUCACCGGCCCAGUCGACAUUGAGAUACAACUCAAGGUGAAGGGCAGAACCACAGAGCAUGAAGACAAAGAUUUCAUCUCCAAAGUGCUGGUAUACGGACGUGAUCCUAGUGACAAACUCGCCGAUGCAGGCAUAGGCAACCACGACAUCGUGCGCACCAGCUGUUUCGGCGAGUUGUGCUCGCUAGAGGUCACCUCCGCCCUAGUCGCUGAAGCGGUCGAGGCCACAGUCAUCUCUGCUGAAGUUAUCGAGGGCCUAUGGCCCCCAAAGUCAGGAAUCCGUGUCGUUUCCGGUACCGCCAGCAUAGACGAGGACUUUGUACUGCUCGAUGCUCGGGAUGGGACACUCCGUGUGGAUCCGGCCCAGGGUGUCAUCCCCAUUACCAGAAAUGUUGUCUGCGUGGAGAAAGAUGGAAGGCUGAAGCUUUCUGUAGAGGCCUACAGAAAGAGUGGACGUAUGUAUGCAAUAUCUGUUACGGAGUUGAUACCCAAGAGAUCAUCCGCCAGUACUGCCAUAUGCAAGCUUCCCUUCUGCACGGUCGAGUUCACCGUAGCUUGGUCCUGCCUCGUGGCCACAGUGGAUGACCUGAGGAAAUACGGUAUCUGA